GGACAAUUAGCUCAGUUGGAAGAGCGAGGGACUCAUAAGCCCUAGGUCGCCGGUUCGAUCCCGGCAUUGUCCACCA
rnacentral:tRNA from 1 species